rnacentral:rRNA from 1 species
UCCGGAGCCGAAGCGAAAGCGAGUCCGAAUAGGGCGUGCAACUGUCGGAGGCAAAGCUGAACGUUGAAAGCCCGAGACGUUCCAAACUCAGACCAAUGGACUUCGGUCCUGCGGAAAAAGCGCGGAGCAGAACGGGAACUAGACCGACGGUAGCGUUUCCAUUAUGUCAGUGAUGUUGUUUGGAUUAGACCCGAAACCGGGUGAGCUACCCAUGGCCAGGCUGAAGCUCGGAUAAUAUCCGAGUGAAGGGCCGAACCCGUGUAUGGUACAAAAUGCUGGGAUGAGCUGUGGGUAGAGGUGAAAUGCCAAUCGAACUCGGAGAUAGCUGGUUCUCCCCGAAAUGUAUUUAGGUACAGCCUCAAGGUAGUAUUGGGGAGGUAGGGCACUGGAUGGACUAGGGGGCGUGAGCCUGCCAACUCCAACCAAACCACGAAUGCCUUUAAUAUGGUCCUUGGGAGUGAGACAGUGGGGGAUAAGCUCCAUUGUCGAGAGGGAAACAGCCCAGAUCGCAGGCUAAGGUCCCUAAGUGUGAACUAAGUGUGAAAGGAAGUGGGAUUCCUAAAACAGCUAGGAGGUUGGCUUAGAAGCAGCCACCCUUUAAAGAGUGCGUAACAGCUCACUAGUCGAGGAGUCCUGCGCCGAAAAUGUAACGGGGCUAAAGUUCACCACCGAAGCCGCGGGAUUCGUCGCGAUAAAAUCAAGACGGAUCGGUAGGGGAGCGUUGCCAGGGCGUCGAAGCAGGCGUGUAAACUCCUGUGGAGCGCUGGGAAGUGAGAAUGCCGGCAUGAGUAGCGACAAUCCUGGUGAGAAUCCAGGACACCGAAAGCCUAAGGUUUCCUACGCAAUGCUGAUCAGCGUAGGGUAAGUCGGGCCUAAGCUAUAGCGCACAAGCGAAAGCGAUGGACAACGGGUCAAAAUUCCCGUACCACUGAUUUCUCGUUUUAACGCAAAGGAGGGACACGGACAGGUAGGCGAAGCGUGCCCAUCGGACAUGGUGCGUUGGGCCCUGAAGGCCAUGCCAGGAUAGGAAAAUCCGUUCUGGCGCAAGAGCUGAGGGGGUCUAAAACUUUAGGGCCAGAGCCCUGGAGGAUUCCGCUGAUCCUAUGCCGUCGAGAAAAGCCUCGUUGCAAGAGAUUUUGGUGACCGUACCGCAAACCGACACAGGUAGGCAGGGGUAAACGUCCCCAGGUGAACGAGAUAACCCUCGUUAAGGAAUUCGACAACUUGACCCCGUAACUUCGGGAUAAGGGGUGCCCGUAGGGUGAAGUCCGCUUGCCGGAUGGAAGCCUUAGCGGGCCUCAGUUAACAGGCUCAAGCGACUGUUUAUCAAAAACAUAGGUCUCUGCUAAGCUGAAAGGCGAUGUAUAGGGGCUGACGCCUGCCCAGUGCCGGAAGGUUAAGGGGAUUGGUUAUUUCGGUUUCGACCGAAAGAAGCUGAGAACCGAAGCCCCGGUGAACGGCGGCCGUAACUAUAACGGUCCUAAGGUAGCGAAAUCCCUUGUCGGGUAAGUUCCGACCCGCACGAAUGGCGUAACGACUUGAGCGUUGUCUCAACGAGGGGCUCGGUGAAAUUGCAUGGCCGGUAAAGAUGCCGGCUACCCGUGACAGGACAAAAAGACCCCGUGGAGCUUUACUGUAGUUUGGCAGUGGUUCGGGGUUGCGGAUGUGUAGGAUAGGCGGGAGACUAUGAAACUUCGGCGUCAGCUGAGGUGGAGUCGCCCUUGAAAUACCGCCCUUCUGUGAUCGUGAUCCUAACCCCAUAAAAAUUGGGGGACCCUGCCUGAUGGGCAGUUUGACUGGGGCGGUCGCCUCCUAAAGAGUAACGGAGGCGCACAAAGGUUCCCUCAAGGUGGAUGGAAAUCACCUUUAAGAGUGUAUUGGCAUAAGGGAGCUUGACUGUGAGACCUACAAGUCGAGCAGAGACGAAAGUCGGUCAAAGUGAUCCCACGUUUCCGAGUGGAAGGGACGUGGCUUAACGGAUAAAAGCUACCCCGGGGAUAACAGGCUAAUCUCGCCCAAGAGUUCACAUCGACGGCGAGGUUUGGCACCUCGAUGUCGGCUCGUCGCAUCCUGGGGCUGAAGAAGGUCCCAAGGGUCCGUCUGUUCGCCGGUAAAAGCGGCACGCGAGCUGGGUUCAGAACGUCGUGAGACAGUUCGGUCUCUAUCCGUCAUGGGCGCAGGAGAUUUGAGGAGAGCUUUCCCUAGUACGAGAGGACCGGGAAGGACAGACCUCUGGUGUACCGGUUGUUCCGCCAGGAGCAUCGCCGGGUAGCUAUGUCUGGAUGAGAUAAGCGCUGAAAGCAUCUAAGCACGAAGCCAACUUCAAGAUUAGAUCUCCCAUCCAAUGUUAAAUUGGAGUAAGGCCUCCGGUAGACUACCGGGUUGAUAGGCCGCAGGUGUAAGGCCGGUAACGGUUUAAGCUGAGCGGUACUAAUUGGCCGAGGACUUGACCCA